rnacentral:tRNA from 1 species
GCAUUAAUGGGGUAGUGGUAACCUGGGUCGUUGCCACCGGGUGUCAUCAGUGAACUCGACCCGCCGGGGGUUCGAUUCCCUCUUAAUGCA